AGUUAAAAUUUUUAUCUAUUUUUAUUGUUUAAAACUGAUGUGGUUGAUAGAAUAACCAAACACUAAAAUGUGACAUGCCACGUAUAUCUUAUGCUAAUGUAUGAAGAUCAAUUUUUAACAGUGAAAAUGGAUAAAAUUUUUAAUA
rnacentral:pre_miRNA from 1 species